rnacentral:rRNA from 1 species
GGGGAAUUUUCCGCAAUGGGGGCAACCCUGACGGAGCAAUACCGCGUGGGGGAGGAAGGCCCUUGGGUUGUAAACCCCUUUUCUCAGGGAAGAAUAACUGACGGUACCUGAGGAAUCAGCCUCGGCUAACUCCGUGCCAGCAGCCGCGGUAAGACGGAGGAGGCAAGCGUUAUCCGGAAUCAUUGGGCGUAAAGCGUCCGUAGGUGGUCCUUCAAGUCUGCUGUCNNNNCCCAGGGCUCAACCCUGGAGAGGCAGUGGAAACUGAAGGACUUAGAGUGCGGUAGGGGUAGAGGGAAUUCCCGGUGUAGCGGUGAAAUGCGUAGAGAUCGGGAAGAACACCAGUGGCGUAAGCGCUAUACUGGACCGCAACUGACACUGAGGGACGAAAGCUAGGGGAGCGAAUGGGAUUAGAUACCCCAGUAGUC